rnacentral:rRNA from 1 species
GACGUAGGGCGCAAGCGUUGUCCGGAUUUAUUGGGCGUAAAGAGCUCGUAGGCGGCCUGUUGCGUCCGCUGUGAAAGCCCGGGGCUUAACCCCGGGUCGGCAGUGGAUACGGGCAGGCUAGAGGUAGGUAGGGGAGAAUGGAAUUCCCGGUGUAGCGGUGAAAUGCGCAGAUAUCGGGAGGAACACCGGUGGCGAAGGCGGUUCUCUGGGCCUUACCUGACGCUGAGGAGCGAAAGCGUGGGGAGCGAACAGG